rnacentral:tRNA from 1 species
GGGUCGUUAGCUCAGUUGGCGGAGCCGCUCGCGGCGACGGCCCGAAGGGCGAGCGAAGCGAGUCAUCCUGCACGACCCACCA